rnacentral:lncRNA from 1 species
UGUGAACUGCUUUUAUCAGAGAAUGAGCUGCCAUGCUGUGAGGAACAAAAUGAGAACUGAGGACUUCCAGCCACAGCUAGUGGAAUGGUGAGCCUUCCAGGCAACAUGCAUGUUUUGGUGGAAACACUUACUCAGGCCAGCUGUUCAUGAUCUUCUCCACCCCCAGGGUCUAGAUGCACAGUCCCCCAUGUUCUACCACCAAGGACUGCACCAGUUUCCUCUACCUCCUGGGCCAGGGCUUACUGGGCAUUUUAGAGUUCGUGUAACCUAAAGGGAAACCACGAGCUGAAGCAUGGCCAAGCCACUGAUGACUGCACUUCGUGACAUCCACAGAUGCUGCAGGUUGGAAAACAUUCAGAAACCAGGUGUGCUUCCCUUCAUAAUGGAAGGGAAGGACAUCGCUAGUUUACAGGGAUAUCAUGUGAUUUCAUCAUUUUCAUUUUCUUACAGGUAGUGAGAAGGUUUGAUGACUGCUAGCAAGACAUCAUGUUAGACCAGAUGAGUGGAAAUUAAUUUUUAAUUCUCUUCAAAGCCACUCUCCUCUCCAGUAACUCAUUUGUUCUCCUUAUAGUCUUAGUGCCUGGAAAUGUAUAAGUAAAACAAGAAGCAAAACCAACCAGAAAAUAAUCUAAAGUCCAAAUAGCAAUUUAUAUGACUAGCCGUCAUACUUGUGGAAAGGCUCAGUAUGCAUUUAAUACUAUAAA